rnacentral:rRNA from 1 species
AGAGUUUGAUCCUGGCUCAGGACGAACGCUGGCGGCGUGCUUAACACAUGCAAGUCGAACGGACUGAUUCGGGUGCUUGCACCUGAUGAAAGUUAGUGGCGGACGGGUGAGUAACACGUGAGUAACCUGCCCCUGAGAGUGGGAUAACGGCCGGAAACAGCCGCUAAUACCGCAUAACAUAGCAUCACCGCAUGGUGGAGUUAUCAAAGAUUUAUCGCUGAGGGAUGGGCUCGCGGCCGAUUAGGCAGUUGGUGAGGUAACGGCUCACCAAGCCGACGAUCGGUAGCCGGACUGAGAGGUUGAACGGCCACAUUGGGACUGAGACACGGCCCAGACUCCUACGGGAGGCAGCAGUGGGGAAUAUUGCACAAUGGGGGAAACCCUGAUGCAGCGACGCCGCGUGAGUGAAGAAGGUCUUCGGAUCGUAAAGCUCUGUCGCGAGGGACGAAGAAUGACGGUACCUCGUGAGGAAGCCACGGCUAACUACGUGCCAGCAGCCGCGGUAAUACGUAGGUGGCGAGCGUUGUCCGGAUUUACUGGGUGUAAAGGGCGCGUAGGCGGGUUAUUAAGUCAGAUGUGAAAUCCCGAGGCUUAACUUCGGAACUGCAUUUGAAACUGAUUAUCUUGAGUGCCGGAGAGGGGAAGCGGAAUUCCUAGUGUAGCGGUGAAAUGCGUAGAUAUUAGGAGGAACACCAGUGGCGGAAGGCGGGCUUCUGGACGGUAACUGACGCUGAGGCGCGAAAGCGUGGGGAGCAAACAGGGAUUAGAUACCCUGGUAGUCCACGCCGUAGACGGAUGAA